CAGUCGAACGAAGCACCUGAGAAUGAUUCUUCGGAUGAAGUCUCUUGUGACUGAGUGGCGGACGGGUGAGUAACGCGUGGGUAACCUGCCUCACACAGGGGGAUAACAGUUGGAAACGACCGCUAAUACCGCAUAACCCGCUGGUGCCGCAUGGCACUGACGGAAAAGAUUUUAUCGGUGUGAGAUGGACCCGCGUCUGAUUAGCCAGUUGGCAGGGUAACGGCCUACCAAAGCGACGAUCAGUAGCCGGCCUGAGAGGGUGAACGGCCACAUUGGGACUGAGACACGGCCCAGACUCCUGCGGGAGGCAGCAGUGGGGAAUAUUGCACAAUGGGGGAAACCCUGAUGCAGCGACGCCGCGUGAGUGAAGAAGUAUUUCGGUAUGUAAAGCUCUAUCAGCAGGGAAGAAAAUGACGGUACCUGACUAAGAAGCCCCGGCUAACUACGUGCCAGCAGCCGCGGUAAUACGUAGGGGGCAAGCGUUAUCCGGAUUUACUGGGUGUAAAGGGAGCGUAGACGGUGAUGCAAGUCAGAAGUGAAAGCCCGGGGCUCAACUCCGGGACUGCUUUUGAAACUGUGUGACUGGAGUGCAGGAGAGGUAAGCGGAAUUCCUGGUGUAGCGGUGAAAUGCGUAGAUAUCAGGAGGAACACCAGUGGCGAAGGCGGCUUACUGGACUGUAACUGACGUUGAGGCUCGAAAGCGUGGGGAGCAAACAGGAUUAGAUACCCUGGUAGUCCACGCGGUAAACGAUGAUCACUAGGUGUCGGUGAGUAUAGACUCAUCGGUGCCGUC
rnacentral:rRNA from 1 species